CGUGCGAGCUCAGAUCAGCGUGGGGCGGAGGAGAAGUGGAGUUUGGAAGUUCAGGGGCACAGGGGCACAGGCCCACGACUGCAGCGGGAUGGACCAGUACUGCAUCCUGGGCCGCAUCGGGGAGGGCGCCCACGGCAUCGUCUUCAAGGCCAAGCAUGUGGAGGUGAGGCUGGACCGCGGCCGGCAGCCUGGCGGGGGUGUGCCCCCGCCACCCACCGGCUAACGCUCUAAACUCUUUCGGUUCCCUUUUUACAUCCAGUACAGUUUUUAAAACCUACUCAUAUUCUAAACCUACUUUGGGCCGUUGCGCUUCCCUCCGCACAGCUGGCUUGGUCCCCUACCCCAGCGGCUGGGUCCCAGGCUAGUCCUAGACCCCCGAGGAGGGCCUCUGGCCGAGCCGGGGUCGCGUGUCUCUCUCUCAACCACCUUCCCCCCACCCACCUUCAUCUCUCUUUCCCAGCCGAGGGUGGGCUGGCAGUGUCUGUCUUCUAUCCUGCAGACUGGCGAGAUAGUUGCCCUCAAGAAGGUGGCCCUAAGGCGGUUGGAGGACGGCUUCCCUAACCAGGCCCUGCGGGAGAUUAAGGCUCUGCAGGAGAUGGAGGACAAUCAGUAUGUGGUGCAACUGAAGGCUGUGUUCCCACACGGUGGAGGCUUUGUGCUGGCCUUUGAGUUCAUGCUGUCGGAUCUGGCCGAGGUGGUGCGCCAUGCCCAGAGGCCACUAGCGCAGGCACAGGUCAAGAGCUACCUGCAGAUGCUGCUCAAGGGCAUCGCCUUCUGCCAUGCCAACAACAUUGUACAUCGGGUCAGUCUCAGCAUAGGCCGGGCAUGGGGUCUGGGGAGCUGACUUGGCUUGGGGAUGGGGCUAGCCCUUGUAAAAGGUGUGAUAAGAAGUUGGGACAGAGCUGGUCAAGGCCUCCAGGUAAGUGGCCAGGGCAUGGCCCUGGAGGAGGCGGGGACCGGGGCUGACCUGAGUGGUUAGACUGCCAAGCCCGCUUGUCCCAAGGUCCUGUGGGGGAUUUGGAGGGACUGAUGCUUCUUUUGGUACUCCCAGGACCUGAAACCUGCCAACCUGCUCAUCAGCGCCUCAGGCCAGCUCAAGAUAGCGGACUUUGGCCUGGCUCGAGUCUUUUCCCCAGACGGCAGCCGCCUCUACACACACCAGGUGGCCACCAGGUAGGGAGGGCCAGAUCCCUUCCAGUCCUUUCCGUGGGGAAGAGAUGCUUCUGGGCCUUUUCUCCAGACAUUGCUUGUGGGGCUGGGGUCACCUCCCCAGGCAUCCUUUUCUCAGCCCAGUGCCUGCCAGCCCUCUUCCUCGCAGGUGGUACCGAGCCCCCGAGCUCCUGUAUGGUGCCCGCCAGUAUGACCAGGGCGUCGAUCUGUGGUGAGACCCCUGUGGGUGGUCAAAGGGUAACAUGGCUCAUGGAUUUCUGCUAGGCUCUGAGGUCUCUGAGCUGUUUGGUGGUCUUUUCCCUGGUGGGAGUUUAGGCUUCCUUAAGGGUGUCUUCCCUGGUUGGGGUAUUCUGAGCACUUUGGGGUUGGGGUUCCUCACUAUGAUGUUUUCGAGCUGGGUGGGGGCCAGGUGGGAUGAGAAUGGUGGUCCCAGGUGGGAAGCUUUCUGGGCUAGUUGGGGAGGUGGUCUGAGCCGAUAUGUGCUGGAGUUAGAUCCCAGGAUAUGGCAUCUCUGAGCUGGUCAGAGGCCUGUGUCCUUGGACAUGAAAGGUCUGAGCUUGUUUUGCAGCAAGAAGAUAGUUGGCAGUGCCCAUGGGUCUGAGAUUUGGGGCAGGUUUGCAGGUCUGCCCCAGAAGUGUCCUAGAGCAGGAGUCUCUGAGAAGUCUUGGAACAGCUGGGGCUUUGCUCUGGGUUCUAGGGUUGAGGGCUUUGAGGGUUCAGGGACUGGGCCUCUGGACUUGAGGCUCCAGGGCUGGCUUGUGGGGCCUUGCCCUGGAGUGCAGUGUUAGAGCUGCUCUGUGGGUGGGUCUGUGGUCCAUGGUGGGAGAUCUCUGACCUGCUUGGGGCUCUGUGUCCACAGGUCUGUGGGCUGCAUCAUGGGGGAGCUGUUGAAUGGGUCCCCCCUUUUCCCGGGCAAGAACGAUAUUGAACAGCUUUGCUAUGUGCUUCGCAUCUUGGGCACCCCAAACCCUCAAGUCUGGCCGGUUUGUAGGGGCCCUUGGUGAGGUGGGUGUGGGGCAGGUUUACUCCACUCCCAACAGCAAGUAACCACUCCCUCCUCUGAACCUUCUCUCUCCUGGCCCCAACCCCCCUUGAUGGACAGGGACCACUGUCCUGGCCCAACUCAGGGCUUCCUCCUUCCUGCUGUCAUUUGGGUUGGGGUAGGUCCUGUCCUUUGUCCCUUUUCACCCCAGUACACACAUGUGCAGUGUCUCAGCAAGCUGUGCACAGAGUCGUCAUCUGAGAGGGCAAGGGGAUGCAUGAAGGAAUACAGGGGUGGGUGAGUGAAUGAAUGAUGGGUCAGGGAGACACAUGGAUGGGAGAGCACCCCCCAUGUGAGUGUGUGUUAGGGGCUGAGAGUUGACAGCAGAGAGCAUGGCAAGGGUCGGGGACUACUCUCAUUGUACCCUGUUCCUUCUCCCUGGCCCAGGAGCUCACUGAGCUGCCGGACUACAACAAGAUCUCCUUUAAGGAGCAGGUGCCCAUGCCCCUGGAGGAGGUGCUGCCCGACGUCUCUCCCCAGGCAUUGGAUCUGCUGGGUCAAUUCCUCCUCUACCCUCCUCGCCAGCGCAUCGCAGCUUCCAAGGUAGGGGGAGAGGCUGUAGUCUCUGCUCCUUCAGCUCCCCUCCCCAUCACCCUGGUACUCUGUACUUGGUAGCCAUGUGACCCCAUCACAUCAGCGACCCUCAGAACCUAUGAUUGGCAUGGACCAGCACCAGACAUCUGGAACCCAGGGGACAGGGGCCUUGGAGCAGGUGUGCCUCUCAUGAGUAGACCCCACUGGACAUCCCCAGACUUCCCCUGAGGGUGGCGCAUACGAGGGGCAUGCCCAACUCUCAGGAGAGCGCGUAUCCGGGAGUGCAGGUUUCUGGGCUGCCCCUGACCCUGUGGCAGAUACAGUAAGAGAGUCACUGGGGACUCAUUCCUUUAUUCCAUUAGCAAGUAUUUUCUGCACAUCUGGCACAUGCAGGGAUUGUCCUGGGCCCCGCACAGAUGGUAAACAAUCAGUCCUACCUCCGCGGGGCACUCCUGGUGGUGAGGUAGCUUCAGGUCCAAAAGGUCACAAGAGGUCAUGUUCUCCAGCUGUGGGAGCCCCAGGAGAGAGGCGAGGCCGACUUUGGGGUCAAGCAAAGCUUCCUGGUGGAGGGCAGGUUUAAGCAUGAGAUGUUUGAGGAGGUGUUCGCUGAAGAGAGAAAUGGUGGGCAGAGGCCUGGAAGAGAGGACCCAGGAAGGCUGGUUAUGGCUGGUAGGCCUGGGAGGACGAUGACCACAGGAGCAUGGGCUGACAGGUGUCAGGGUGUCUCUCUCAGGGGUCCCCGCGCCCUCCCUGCACUCAGCACCAGCAGUGUGUGUUUACAUAUGCCCUCUUGGUCUCCACUGUCAGCAGCUCCUGUGGGCUCUGUGUCCACAGUAUACCCAAGCCGUGUGACCCUUAUCUCUUGGAUUGCCUCCCAGAAUCUGGGUCUCCCCUCAUCCCAUUUAAUCUCUUCUCCACCUGGCAGACAGAGUAACUUUAUCCAAGUAGAGCAGGACACAUUCCUUCUCUGCCAGGGCCCUCCUGUGGCUCCAUCUCAGAGGAAAAGCCAGGGUCCUUUUUGUGACCCACAGAUGUCAUAUGCUUGGGUGCCAUCACCUCAUGACGCUGCCUGCUGUUGUGCCCUGUGCUCACUCCUCUCCAGCCCCAGGGGUCAGUAUACUUUUGUCCCUGGCCUGGAGCCUCAUGUCCCACUUGCUUAUGUCUCAAGUCUUGGCUUAAAUGUCACUUCUCAGAUGGCCUUCCCUCAUGACUCUUCAGAUCUGCAACCUCUCUCCAGGAUUCCUCAUUCCUCUGUCUUGCUUUCUCUUUUCCACUGCACUAAUCAUUAUCUGACAUACUGUGUAUUUUACUUCAUCUUGUUUAUUACCCCCCACCCUCACUUAUGUCAGAAAAACAGAGCUUUUGUCUGUUUUAUUAACGGCUAUGUUCCUAGCUUCUGGAAUAGUGCUUCAGACAUAGUAGACACUCAGAAAACACCCAGACACACUGAGUCAGCUGAAUGCAUAGAUGAAGGAACAUCUGCUUGAGGCUGGGGACAGGGAGGUGACUAGUUUCCUUCUGCUGUUCCUUACUUGCCACCCUCAGGCUCUCCUCCAUCAGUACUUCUUCACAGCUCCCCUGCCUGCCCAUCCAUCUGAGCUGCCGAUUCCUCAGCGUCUAGGGGGACCUGCCCCCAAGGCCCAUCCAGGGCCCCCCCACAUCCAUGACUUCCACGUGGACCGGCCUCUUGAGGAGUCGCUGUUGAACCCAGAGCUGAUUCGGCCCUUCAUCCUGGAGGGGUGAGAAGUUGGCCCUGGUCCCGUCUGCCUGCUCCUCAGGACCACUCAGUCCACCUGUUCCUCUGCCACCUGCCUGGCUUCACCCUCCAAGGCCUCCCCAUGGCCACAGUGGGCCCACACCACACCCUGCCCCUUAGCCCUUGCGAGGGUUGGUCUCGAGGCAGAGGUCAUGUUCCCAGCCAAGAGUAUGAGAACAUCCAGUCGAGCAGAGGAGAUUCACGACCUGUGCUCGGUGAGCCUUACCUUCUGUGUGCUACUGACGUACCCAUCAGGACAGUGAGCUCUGCUGCCAGUCAAGGCCUGCGUAUGCAGAAUGAUGAUGCCUGCCUUGGUGCUGCUUCCCCGAGUGCUGCCUCCUGGUCAAGGAGAAGUGCAGAGAGUAAGGUGUCCUUAUGUUGGAAACUCAAGUGGAAGGAAGAUUUGGUUUGGUUUUAUUCUCAGAGCCAUUAAACACUAGUUCAGUAUGUGAGAUAUAGAUUCUAAAAACCUCAGGUGGCUCUGCCUUAUGUCUGUUCCUCCUUCAUUUCUCUCAAGGGAAAUGGCUAAGGUGGCAUUGUCUCAUGGCUCUCGUUUUUGGGGGUCAUGGGGAGGGUAGCACCAGCCAUAGCCACUUUUGCCCUGAGGGCCUCCUGUGUGCUUCACAUCACUGAGCACUCAUUUAGAAGUGAGGGAGACAGAAGUCUAGGCCCAGGGAUGGCUCCAGUUGGGGAUCCAGCAGGAGACCCUCUGCACAUGAGGCUGGUUUACCAACAUCUACUCCCUCAGGAUGAGCGUGAGCCAGAAGCAGCUGUGUAUAUAAGGAAACAAGCAUUCCUGGAAUUAAUUUAUAAAUUUAAUAAAUCCCAAUAUAAUCCCAGCUAGUGCUUUUUCCUUAUUAUAAUUUGAUAAGGUGAUUAUAAAAGAUACAUGGAAGGAAGUGGAACCAGAUGCAGAAGAGGAAAUGAUGGAAGGACUUACGGUAUCAGAUACCAAUAUUUAAAAGUUUGUAUAAUAAUAAAGAGUAUGAUUGUGGUUCAAGGAU
rnacentral:sRNA from 1 species